GACGAACGCUGGCGGCGUGCCUAACACAUGCAAGUCGAACGGAGAUGCUUAAGAGGAGACUUCGGUCAACGAUUAAGUAUUCUUAGUGGCGGACGGGUGAGUAACGCGUGAGCAAUCUGCCUUUCAGAGGGGGAUAACGUUCUGAAAAGAACGCUAAUACCGCAUAACGUAUUUGACGGCAUCGUCGGAAUACCAAAGGAGCAAUCCGCUGAAAGAUGAGCUCGCGUCUGAUUAGGUAGUUGGUGAGGUAACGGCCCACCAAGCCGACGAUCAGUAGCCGGACUGAGAGGUUGAACGGCCACAUUGGGACUGAGAUACGGCCCAGACUCCUACGGGAGGCAGCAGUGGGGAAUAUUGGGCAAUGGGCGCAAGCCUGACGCAGCAACGCCGCGUGAUUGAAGAAGCCCUUCGGGUGUAAAGAUCUGUCAGUGGGACGAAAACUUGACGGUACCCACAGAGGAAGCAUCGGCUAACUCCGUGCCGAGCAGCCGCGGU
rnacentral:rRNA from 1 species